UCCUGCCUUUACAUGGACACUCUCAUUGGGUAUAAUCCUGGGCCAGGUGAUCAUUCAACCCAUCACGUCACUGCUGACACUCCUCAAAGGAAUCCUGCUGGUUAUUACCGUGUCCGUGACAUUUGUUGUGGGUUCAGAAGUUCACCAAGAGACCACGAAUGACUUCACCCAAAUCGGGAAACCUUUUCUAAUGGGAACAGUAGCUCUCGGUGGGAUUGUCAACGUCAUGCCUUUUUCAUUUUCUGAAAUCUCCCAUGUUAAAACACAGGUCUUAUGGUUCAGAAGAGCUGUACUAGGGGACUUGCCACAUGCACACUCUUAAAUAUAUUAUGGUGUUGGGCAGUUUUAGAGAUUGUUCCCCAGAUGGCUGUGGAGACACUGCUGGAGGAGAAACUCUUAAAUAGGAGUACAGGACAAACAGAGGCGACUCAUCCAGUACACACAUUUAUCUACUCCAACAUCCCCCUCGAGGAGUGAGUGCAUACAUACACAUGAACAUACAA